CCUACGGGAGGCAGCAGUGGGGAAUAUUGCGCAAUGGGCGAAAGCCUGACGCAGCGACGCCGCGUGAGGGAUGAAGGUCUUCGGAUCGUAAACCUCUGUCAGCAGGGAAGAACGGUCACUGUGCUAAUCAGCAGUGAAUUGACGGUACCUGCAAAGGAAGCACCGGCUAACUCCGUGCCAGCAGCCGCGGUAAUACGGAGGGUGCGAGCGUUAAUCGGAAUUACUGGGCGUAAAGCGCUCGUAGGCGGUAUGUCAAGUCAAGGGGGAAAUCCCCGCGCUCAACGUGGGAACUGCCUUUGAAACUGGCAAACUGGAGUGUGUGAGAGGAUAGUGGAAUUCCAGGUGUAGGAGUGAAAUCCGUAGAUAUUUGGAGGAACAUCAGUGGCGAAGGCGACUAUCUGGCACAUAACUGACGCUGAGGAGCGAAAGCGUGGGUAGCAAACAGGAUUAGAUACCCGGGUAGUC
rnacentral:rRNA from 1 species